rnacentral:lncRNA from 1 species
GAAGGUGCUCAGGCUUGGAUCUGGGGUGUAGCGGUGGCCUCCCUUCACCCCCAGCUCAGCAGAAUCUUUUUUUUGUCUGUCAGCAGUGGGGGCAGAGGCAGCUAUGGUGCGUCUCCAUCUCUGUUUCCUGAGGUUGCUGAUGCAAGCCAGCUGCGCUGAGCUGAGCGCUGCUCUUCCUCUGUUUAUGGGUUCAUUGCCACUCUGCCUGGCCUGCACUGCACCAACCCUGUCCCCCACCGUCACUCAGGUUACGAUCUGCUAUCUGCACCACGGGGGAGAAUCAAGCCCAGGGUUCUCUUUGAGCUGUGUGACUCAGAAUGCGCAGGUCGCAGGUCGCAUUCAAAGAGGCAGCCAUGGGGCAGUCCCAGGGUGCAGCUGGGCUGGCCUUCCCCGGGGUGCCCUGGGGCGCCCUUGACUUCACAGCACUUCCGGGUAGAGGGGUAGAGGCAUCAGUCCUCACCCACUGGGUGAGGCCCUUGCCCCUGCUGUCCUUUCUCAUCUAGCCCUUUUCCGCACUCCACCCUCACCUGGGGGGAGGUAGCACUGAUAAGAUUUGCACUCGCCUUUGGCACAGGGGAGACCAGUUUCUCUCAGCCUUGCCAGUCUCUGCCAACGUCGGGGGUGGGCAAAAGGAAGGAAAAGGGACUUCACUGGCAGUGGGGCAGUAGUGGGUCUUGGUGUGUGUGUGUGUGUGUGUGUGUGUGUGUUUGUGACAAGGAUGGGGGUCUGAGUAUCCUGCUGCUCCCCCAGCAUGGCACACACACAACUGCAGCAGGCGCACAGAGUUCUUUGUUGAGCCGGCAGGGGCUCACAGGGCGGCCCUAGAAGAAAGGAAACUAAAAUGUUAAGUGUCUGAGUCGGUUCACUCCACAACAAAGUUUUAUGAAAGAGAAAACAACCUCAGAAGUGGCCGAGACGGGCGGCCGCCCCGCCCCGCACCCUGCUGCCUGGAGUUUCCUCCCUAACUCCACUCCCCUCCCCCUGGCUAACGGACCUCCCUGAUGGUGGGGAGGGCUGGCUGAGCACCUCUCUGUGACUCUCCACCUGAGGGGGUUCUUUGGAGGAUCCCCGGUUGCCCCUCCACACUCACAGAAUUCAAAGGAAUGCACAGGGAGGGAAACUCGAAACUAAAGGUGGUUUAUUGAGCAUAUCUCCAUGCCAGCAGUCUGGUGGGCCUGGGUCAAGGAACCCACCAGAUGGAAAGCUGAGGCAGUCAAGGUGGUGGAAAAGUGCGGUAUCAGGGAAUGACAGAGAAGGUGGGGGCCACAAGAAAGGGGAAAUCUGAAAGGGUGAGGAGCAGAAGUGUGAGAAGGCAUCCUUAAAUUGGAAUGGAGGCGGCUUCCUGGGGGAGUGAAAGUUGGAAUGUGGGGAGCUCCACAACAGGGAGGAGCAGAAGACCCUGGAUGUCUGAAAGGAUUGUGAGGGGAAUCGAGGAGGUGGGAGAUGAGGAUGGGUUGCUGGAGAAUGCUGAGAGAGAAAAACGCUCACCCGCGGGGAGGGGGUGGAGAGGUGAGUAUCUAGGAAUCACUCUGUGAUUCUCACUCACUCUGUAUCUAGGAAUCACUCUGUGAAAUGCCCAGGACAAGAAGGGUUGGACCCUGGGGUGGGAGGUAUGGGUGGGAGAGCCUACAAGGCAGCUGAGCACUGCAAACCACUCCCUCACCCCCCCCCCCAAGCCCAGAUCCCAGAUUUCAUCUCUUAAUCUCCCUCAUUAAUCAUUCACCUUCCUCCUACCCCCAUCGGUGGAUCUGGUUUCUUCCCAGCUCAGGUUCCAGAGACUUUGCUGGGAGAAGUCCCCUCCUGUGGCCCCACCAUUGUCUGGACACGUCCCUGGCUCCCUGGCCACUGGGCUGAUCUUAGUGGGCUCUGCUGUGGCCUCCUCCCUUUACUAGUCUCUCCUUCCCUUUUGUCCCCCAAAUGGGGGUCACCCAACCCUUUUGUCCAACCCCAUUACCUGAGCCUGGUUACUGGGGGGAGAAGAUAGGCGGGAGAGCGAGAAGGGCAGGAAGGCAAAGACCCCUCAGGAGAGAGGGCGCUCCCCACAAACACACUAGGAAUCGAAAGCAGAGGAAGAGAUGACCUAAAAGCUAUUUAGAAGAUGCAUGAGUGAAGGUCGCCUGAGUAAAGGUCUGAGGUGUCUGACAAGCCUGGGACCUGAGUUCCGCAGUUCCUGCAGCCUUCUGGGACCCUCUUUAAAUGGAGAUUAAGUGAAAUCACCAGGAUGGUUCAGAGGACUGAGGCCUCCAGCAGAGAGGAUCACUCUUGGCCCCCCUCCACCUCCCGCCAUUAAUAACCAAUUUACAAGAUCCUGAGGCAGCUCAGCUUUCUGCUGUGGUGUGGCUCUGCUCUCUGCCCC